CAACCCGCAAGGGGGAGCUAAUCCCAUCAAAGCCGGCCCCAGUUCGGAUUGAGGGCUGCAACCCGCCCUCAUGAAGCCGGAAUCGCUAGUAAUCGCGCAUCAGCCAUGGCGCGGUGAAUACGUUCUCGAGUUUUGUACUCAGAAAUAAAGGCGCCUGGCAGCUAUUGAAUCUAAGUUGUUAAAAUCAACUCCUCC
rnacentral:rRNA from 1 species